UACGAAGGGUGCAAACGUUGCUCGGAAUCAUUGGGCGUAAAGCGCACGUAGGCGGCCCCAUAAGUCGGAUGUGAAAUCCCUCGGCUCAACCGAGGACGUGCAUUCGAAACUGUGGGGCUCGAGUAUGGAAGAGGGUCGCAGAAUUCCCGGUGUAGAGGUGAAAUUCGUAGAUAUCGGGAGGAAUACCAGUGGCGAAGGCGGCGACCUGGGCCAAUACUGACGCUGAGGUGCGAAAGCGUGGGGAGCAAAC
rnacentral:rRNA from 1 species